UGGGUUUGACAUACAUGGUGUACCCGUAGAGAUGCGGGGUCCCUUUGGGGCCGUGUACAGGUGGUGCAUGGCUGUCGUCAGCUCGUGUCGUGAGAUGUUGGGUUAAGUCCCGCAACGAGCGCAACCCUCGUCCUAUGUUGCCAGCACGUGAUGGUGGGGACUCAUAGGAGACUGCCGGGGUCAACUCGGAGGAAGGUGGGGAUGACGUCCCAGUAUCGGAA
rnacentral:misc_RNA from 1 species